UGUUAUUUUCUGUGAUUAAUUUCUGUACCUUUGACUGAAAAACCAGUCCAUGGAUUAUAUUGAUAGUGCUCUGUGCACUUAAUCCGUGCAGUUUUUGUUUCUUGUUGAUUCUAAGCAGUAAAGAUUCUAACAAUGGUAUCAAAGUUUUAUUUGGGAUCGAGUUAUGAGUUGAUAAAACGUAGAUCUGAGCCCUUGCGCUAUUUUUGUUAUUUUCUGUGAUUAAUUUCUGUACCUUUGACUGAAAAACCAGUCCAUGGAUUAUAUUGAUAGUGCUCUGUGCACUUAAUCCUUGCAGUUUUUGUUUCUUGUUGAUUGUUUCUUGGCCGUGGAUCGUUGGAUCCCGAGUCACUUGCUGUCCCUGUUUACAGGUGUACCGAUUAGGGUUAGUCGCUCCGAGCGCCUAGGGGAUCGGUUCCUCUCAAAGUGUCGAUUAGGGUUUUGUGGUCGAGCGAUUAGCGUUUGCUAAACCUGCCGGCCCCCUUAAUCUAUUUAUAUGCCAGAUUGCCAUCAAAUAAAUGGGUUUCGUCCGGAUGCCAUUAUCAACCAUACCGCACACGCUAAAAUGUCAUUUGAUCGUUUAAUAAAACAAAUGAGAUUGAAUACAGUUCUAUGGACCAUUUUAUUCUUGCCUGAUGCCUUUGUCUCUGCGUUCCACCGGCGACGCCAAGGACAACACCCUUCGCUCCUGCUCCGCCGCCACAGGGGAAGGGACAGCUUCGGCGGCGGGUGCCGGCACCGAUGGGAAGCCCAUGUCGAGCAUGUACCAUGAGCGCGAUGCCGGUGAUGGUGCCCCAAGAGUUGCCAAGCUUGGUAGCGGCGAGCUGGAGGUCGGCGAGGCAGCCGGCGAGCAUGACAGAGAUGAGCGGGAUAGUGUAGUAAGCCAUGCUGGUAGCCACCGUGGCGUUGCGAGGGCCAACUACCCUGUCACCUCCGCUCAUGGCCAGGAAGAAGAAACACACGCAUGGGGAAAAACGCACAGGAAAGAAGAAACACAAGGGAAGAUAGAGGAAAGGGAGAGGGG
rnacentral:misc_RNA from 1 species